CAUAAAUUGAAGAUAACCGAACAUAAUUGUAUUAUUAAUGUGGGAAAUAAAUUUAGAUGUACUAAAAAACACAAGCCCAUUGUAUGAGGAAAGAUAUGUAGUUAGAGAGCACAGGCCCAGUGUAUAUGGGAAAGGAGUGUAUCAAUGAGCACCAGCUGUCUUCAAAGGAAGAAAGAUACAGGUGGACCAAGGUCGACCUAGGCAACAAAAUGUGGGAAAUAAAUACAAAUGUACUCAAAAAACACAAGCCCAUUGUAUGGGGAACCGGCAGUAGGGGAACGCUUCAUACUAAAUAGAUACAAUAAGAACAAACACGUAAUACACACAUAAUUUCUGCCCUGCUGACUAAGCUGUAUAAAGGCGCCUUUGUGAAACUAACGGAAGCUUCUGCCUUUUUUGGAAAAUGUGUUAUCAGAAUAUGUGACUUAUGAUAGAAGGGGGAGGGUGAGACAGGCGGGAGAAGAGCACUAGGGAGGGGCUGAUAAACAAUGGUGUCCGAGAAUUGGGUGUCAGAUAAAAAUAAUGAUGUCAACAACAUUACGUAAUUAACAAAAUUAAAUGGGAAGUACUAGAUUUAAGCUACACAACAGGAGGAGUUAGAAAAAUGGAUAUAAGAGGUAGUUGGCCCGAGGGGAGUGUGUGGGUGUGUGUGCGCGCACAUGGUGUGUGUUUUGGGAAUGCUUGGAGAAUGAUCUGAUGUAUUGUCUUUACUUAUGAGUGAUUGUUAAUUGUACUGAACUGCGCAGAUCAGCCCGGGUUAUUUUAUGUAAUCUUUGAUUUACUAACAAUAAACCCAGUUGCAUCAGACUCUGAGAAGUGUGCAUCUUUUGAAGAAGCAUUCAACAGUGUGGAGGAGAGCGACCUCGGCGUUUCUGGCCCAGGCCGGGGCCCGCUUUUCCCGACCACACUAGCUAGAUAUAUAAUGUGGACAAAGACAGUUAGCUAACGUUAUCCAAACAGCCAGCUUUUUAAAAAUCGUUGGUAAUUUUAGCCAUGUUGUUAGUUUAUCUAGAUAGCUAGCGUUUG